GACGAACGGUAAGAAUUGUAGCAAUAUGAUUCCAAGAGUGUCGUACGGGUGCGUAACACGUAUGCAACCUACCUUGUACAGGAGUAUAGCUCGGGGAAACUCGAAUUAACCCUCCAUAAUAUAGUGGUGUGGCAUCACAUUACUAUUAAAACUACGGUGGUACAAGAUGGGCAUGCGUUUGAUUAGCUAGUUGGCGGUGUAAUGGACCACCAAGGCGAUGAUCAAUAGGGGAACUGAGAGGUUGAUCCCCCACACUGGCACUGAGAUACGGGCCAGACUCCUACGGGAGGCAGCAGUAGGGAAUAUUGGUCAAUGGAUGGAAGUCUGAACCAGCCAUGCCGCGUGCAGGAAGAAGGCCUUCUGGGUUGUAAACUGCUUUUGCCAGGGGAUAAGAAUUCUUUGCGAAGAAAAUUGAAGGUACCUGGUGAAUAAGCACCGGCUAACUACGUGCCAGCAGCCGCGGUAAUACGUAGGGUGCAAGCGUUGUCCGGAUUUAUUGGGUUUAAAGGGUGCGUAGGCGGCCUUGUAAGUCAGUGGUGAAAUACUCCAGCUUAACUGGAGGGGUGCCAUUGAUACUGCAGGGCUUGAGUUAAGUUGAAGUUGGCGGAAUUGACGGUGUAGCGGUGAAAUGCUUAGAUAUCGUCAAGAACACCGAUAGUGAAGACAGCUAACUAAACUUUUACUGACGCUGAGGCACGAAAGUGUGGGGAUCAAACAAGAUUAGAUACCCUGGUAGUCCACACUGU
rnacentral:rRNA from 1 species